UGGUGGGGUAGAGCAAGGGUUGGCAAACUAUAUGUUGUUGCUUAUGAAGUUGUGCUGAAACAUGACCACACUUACUGGUGGAGGUAUUGUUUGUGGCUGCUUUCAUGUUGCAGUGGCUGAGUUGAGUAGUGGUGACAUACAGAGACUAUUCAGCUUAUAAAGGCUAAAAAUAUUUACUAUUUCUCUUUACAUAAAAAAAAUUGGGGGCGGUGCCUGUGGCUCAGUGAGCAGGGCGCCGGCCCCAUAUACCAAGGGUGGUGGGUUCAAACCCAGCCCCGGCCAAACUGCAACAAAAAAUAGCCGGGCGUUGUGGCGGGCGCCUGUAGUCCCAGCUACUCGGGAGGCUGAGGCAGGAGAAUCGCCUAAGCCCAGGAGUUGGAGGUUGCUGUGAGCUGUGUGACGCCAUGGCACUCUACCGAGGGCAAUAAAGUGAAACUCUGUCUCUACAAAAAAAAAAAAAAAAUUGGGGGGCUGCGCGGUGUUUGUGGCUCAAAGGAGUAGGGCACCAGCCCCAUAUGCUGGAGGUGGUGGGUUCAAACCCAGCCCCAGCCAAAAACUACAAAAAAAAAAAAAAAUUGGGGGGUUUUGGGAAGAUGGCGAAGGUCUCAGAGCUGUAUGAUGUCACUUGGGAAGAAAUGAGAGAUAAGAUGAGAAAAUGGAGAGAAGAAAACUCGCGAAAUAGUGAGCAAAUUCUAGAAGUUGGAGAAGAAUUAAUUAAUGAAUAUGCUUCUAAGCUUGGAGAUGAUAUUUGGAUCAUAUAUGAACAGGUGAUGAUUGCAGCGCUAGACUAUGGUCAGGAUGACUUGGCAUUGUUUUGUCUUCAAGAGUUAAGAAGACAGUUCCCUGGCAGUCACAGAGUCAAGAGAUUAACAGGCAUGAGAUUUGAAGCAAUGGAAAGAUAUGAUGAUGCUAUACAGCUAUAUGAUCAAAUUUUACAAGAAGAUCCAACUAACACUGCUGCAAGAAAGCAUAAGAUUGCCAUUCGAAAAGCCCAGGGGAAAAAUGUGGAGGCCAUUCGGGAACUGAAUGAGUAUCUGGAACAAUUUGUUGGAGACCAAGAAGCCUGGCAUGAAUUUGCAGAACUCUAUAUCAAUGAACAUGACUAUGCAAAGGCAGCCUUUUGUUUAGGGGAGCUUAUGAUGACUAAUCCACACAACCACUUAUACGGUCAGCAGUAUACUGAAGUUAAAUAUACCCAAGGUGGACUUAAAAACCUCGAACUUUCAAGAAAAAUGUACUUUGCACAGGCGUUGAAACUGAACAACAGAAAUAUGAGAGCUUUGUUUGGGCUUUACAUGUCAGCAAGUCAUAAUUGCUUCUAAUCCAAAAGCAAGUGCAAAAAUGAAAAAGGACAACAUGAAAUAUGCUAGUUGGGCAGCUCGUCAAAUAAACAGAGCUUAUCAGUUUGCAGGUCGAAGUAAGAAAGAAAGCAAAUACUCUCUGAAGGCAGUCGAAGACAUGUUGGGAACAUUGCAGAUCACCCAGUCUUAAGGUUUCAAAAACUCUUUGACAUUAGAUUUCACAACUGCACAAUUGAACUUAAUGGCCUGUGACUUAUUUAAUAAAUGCCCAGUGCUAUUUAAAAAAAAAAAAAAAUUUGCUAAUUCUUAAGGUUGGGAAUCCACACAUGGGGCCUGGGCCCUGUCCUCUGGGAAGAAGGAACCCAUUGGUCCUUUGCUGAAAAUGAGUAGCGGCUCUAAUAAAAAGCCACACCCACUUAAACUCUGAGCAAAGAACAAAGUUCACUAAAGCUUCCCUUGGAUUCUGCUUACCUUCUGUAUCCUUUGGGCUCUGUGGGGAUGGAGAGAUAAAAUGGUGUGGGCCUCGGGUGGAUCAAACCACUAUAGACUUUAGCAUCUCCCUGUCAUGUUCCGUCCGUCUGGCUUCUUCCUAUCCUCCCCUCACCACUCU